rfam:Ictidomys tridecemlineatus contig093275, whole genome shotgun sequence.
AGGGUUGUGGCUCAGUGGUAGAGUGUUUGCCUAGUGUUUGCAGGACACUGGGUUCGAAUCUCAGCAACACAU